rnacentral:misc_RNA from 1 species
UUCUUCAAAUAUAUUUAUGAUAACAAAAUAGUCCUUUUAAAUUUAUGCUGUUGAUUCAACCACCAACUCUUUUUGGUCUUUUGAAUGCAGAUCUCUAGGUUUGAUGCAGUACACACGAGACCCAAGAUGCUGAACUUCAAGCCCAGCAACCUCACAACCACUGAAAAAUAAAGAUACAUCCUCCUUUCCAAUCCUGCGUCUCCAACUCAUUAAAAAUGCAGGCCUGGGCAACCCCAUGAAUGUUCCUCCAUUCUGUUCAUUAGCUGCGACUACUUCGUCAUUUUUUGGCUUGUAAGAUUUGAGGAGAAAGGAAAGAGUUUCUAUCAGGUUCGAGUACUGUUUCACAUACAAUAAUAUAUCACUAGCUAUAACCAAGUCCCAGUCAGGAUCAGCAAUUGGAAACGUGUCACCCCAUGUAUGCUUUAUGUGAGGAAGGACAGGUGUGAUUCCAUUUGCAGCACAGUUAUAAGCUAUGUUCUCUUCAAUUUCUUGAUCAUUGUAGUCUGAUGUCGUGAUAUCAAGAUUAAAUGAUCUGCUAAGAAAAAUAGCUAAAGCUCCUGUGCCGCUGCCCAAUUCAAUGCAACGGCGUCUUUCUAUAUGUGACCUAUGCUGAACUAACCAUUCUGCAAAUGCAAAUGUCCCUGGCCAGAGUAAAUUAGCAUUCAGCCGAUGAAAAGAAAAUUCUCGGAUGAGCAACUCCAUUCCGGGAAAACUGUGCUUCCUCUCCACAUAGCUUUGUUGGGAUUUGUUCGUUUCCUCAACAAUAGAGGCGUCAUCGUCGUCGGCGAAAAGCGAAGACGGGGAGAAGAGGGCAAUGUCCAUC